rnacentral:rRNA from 1 species
AUUGAACGCUGGCGGCAGGCUUAACACAUGCAAGUCGAGCGGAGAUGAGGUGCUUGCACCUUAUCUUAGCGGCGGACGGGUGAGUAAUGCUUAGGAAUCUGCCUAUUAGUGGGGGACAACAUUCCGAAAGGAAUGCUAAUACCGCAUACGUCCCACGGGAGAAAGCAGGGGAUCUUCGGACCUUGCGCUAAUAGAUGAGCCGAAGUCGGGUUAGCUAGUUGGUGGGGUAAAGGCCUACCAAGGCGACGAUCUGUAGCGGGUCUGAGAGGAUGAUCCGCCACACUGGGACUGAGACACGGCCCAGACUCCUACGGGAGGCAGCAGUGGGGAAUAUUGAACAAUGGGGGGAACCCUGAUCCAGCCAUGCCGCGUGUGUGAAGAAGGCCUUAUGGUUGUAAAGCACUUUAAGCGAGGAGGAGGCUACUGAGACUAAUACUCUUGGAUAGUGGACGUUACUCGCAGAAUAAGCACCGGCUAACUCUGUGCCAGCAGCCGCGGUAA